rnacentral:rRNA from 1 species
AACAGGAUUAGAUACCCUGGUAGUCCAUGCCGUAAACGUUGGGCACUAGGUGUGGGGACCAUUCCACGGUUUCCGCGCCGCAGCUAACGCAUUAAGUGCCCCGCCUGGGGAGUACGGCCGCAAGGCUAAAACUCAAAGGAAUUGACGGGGGCCCGCACAAGCGGCGGAGCAUGCGGAUUAAUUCGAUGCAACGCGAAGAACCUUACCAAGGCUUGACAUGUUCUCGAUCGCCGUAGAGAUACGGUUUCCCCUUUGGGGCGGGUUCACAGGUGGCGCAUGGUUGUCGUCAGCUCGUGUCGUGAGAUGUUGGGUUAAGUCCCGCAACGAGCGCAACCCUCGUUCCAUGUUGCCAGCACGUAAUGGUGGGGACUCAUGGGAGACUGCCGGGGUCAACUCGGAGGAAGGUGAGGACGACGUCAAAUCAUCAUGCCCCUUAUGUCUUGGGCUUCACGCAUGCUACAAUGGCCGGUACAAUGGGUUGCGAUACUGUGAGGUGGAGCUAAUCCCAAAAAGCCGGUCUCAGUUCGGAUUGGGGUCUGCAACUCGACCCCAUGAAGUCGGAGUCGCUAGUAAUCGCAGAUCAGCAACGCUGCGGUGAAUACGUUCCCGGGCCUUGUACACACCGCCCGUCAAGUCACGAAAGUCGGUAACACCCGAAGCCGGUGGCCUAACCCUUGUGGGGGGAGCCGUCGAAGGUGGGACCAGCGAUUGGGACUAAGUCGUAACAAGGUAACC